GUGCUCUCUAUCUAAUGCAGUGACGAUCACGCAGUGUGUCUCAGGUCAAGUGAAGCGACAGCAUGCAGCACACUUGAAAGAUCACGUCUUCCUCUGUUUUUAACACCAGUUACGGGCUACAGCGCCAAAUAAACAUGAAUGAAUGCCAAAGGGUCUGUAAACAGAUACAGGACAAUUUACUGACAUGAAUCCUGUCACAUGUAAUCGCUCAAUCAGUGCUUCAGCCGUACUUCAGAGACGUCACAAACAGCUCGUCAACAAGAUGUCAUGUUUCUCAUCAAAUCCAUAUUCAGGGACCAUCAACUUGGAAAGUUGGUGAAAUAAUGGCAGUGAGCAUUACUCAGGAUGGACCUUUUUCAUGAAGUGGAUUUACAAUUUCAUUUCUUCCGGGAGAUUAAUAAAGAUGAGCUGACAUAACAGAUGCAGACCUGCUAGAUCUGAUUGACAAGAUUGAGACUGCAGACACUACAGCCUUGCUUGAGCUUUCUGAAAGAAUCGUAGCAUGUGGUACACAGGAUCCUAACAUGUGAUGAAAGGAAGACAUUGUCAGAAGAAGGGAGCAGCAGUAA